rnacentral:rRNA from 1 species
UACGGGGGGGGCAAGCGUUGUUCGGAAUUACUGGGCGUAAAGGGCUCGUAGGCGGCCAACUAAGUCGGAUGUGAAAUCCCCAGGCUCAACUUGGGAACUGCAUCCGAUACUGGAUGGCUUGAAUCCGGGAGAGGGAUGCAGAAUUCCAGGUGUAGCGGUGAAAUGCGUAGAUAUCUGGAGGAAUACCGGUGGCGAAGGCGGCAUCCUGGACCGGCAUUGACGCUGAGGCACGAAGGUCAGGGGAGCAAACGGG